AGCUAAACAAGUAUUAAAGGUCCCGCCUGCCCAGUGAAUCUUUUCAACGGCCGCGGUAUUCUAACCGUGCAAAGGUAGCGUAAUCACUUGUCUUCUAAAUAAAGACCUGUAUGAACGGCUAAAUGAGGAUAAACCUGUCUCUUAUAACCAACCAGUGAAACUGAUCUCCCAGUACAAAAGCUGGAAUCAACCCAUAAGACGAGAAGACCCUGCGGAGCUUAAAACAAACCACUAAUUAAUAUCAUCUUAACCCUAGUGAAAUGUUUUCAGUUGGGGCGACUUCGGAAUAAAACACAACUUCCGAGCACAGAACCACUAAUUCUAACCAAGGCCAACAAGCCAAAGUAUAAUAUGACCCGGCACAUGCCGAUCAACGAACCAAGUUACCCCAGGGAUAACAGCGCUAUCCUCUUCAAGAGUCCCUAUCAACAAGAGGGUUUACGACCUCGAUGUUGGAUCAGGACACCCAAAUGGUGCAGCCGCUAUUAAAGGUUCGUUUGUUCAACGAUU
rnacentral:rRNA from 1 species